rnacentral:rRNA from 1 species
CCAUCCUCCAAGGCUAAAUACUCCUGAUUGACCGAUAGUGAACCAGUACUGUGAAGGAAAGGCGAAAAGAACCCCGGUGAGGGGAGUGAAAUAGAACCUGAAACCUUGUACGUACAAGCAGUGGGAGCCCCAUCACUUAAUCCGAUUGGAAGGUGAUGAAAAGCAACCGCACUUAAACAAUGGUAAGAGGAGCGAAGCGAGUCAAACCACCCAAAAGAAGCAGUGGGAUUAAGUGAUGGGGUGACUGCGUACCUUUUGUAUAAUGGGUCAGCGACUUAUAUUUUGUAGCGAGGUUAACCGAAUAGGGGAGCCGAAGGGAAACCGAGUCUUAACUGGGCGAAGAGUUGCAAGGUAUAGACCCGAAACCCGGUGAUCUAGCCAUGGGCAGGUUGAAGGUUGGGUAACACUAACUGGAGGACCGAACCGACUAAUGUUGAAAAAUUAGCGGAUGACUUGUGGCUGGGGGUGAAAGGCCAAUCAAACCGGGAGAUAGCUGGUUCUCCCCGAAAUCUAUUUAGGUAGAGCCUUGAGGUGACACCUUUGGGGGUAGAGCACUGUUUCGGCUAGGGGUCCAUCCCGGAUUACCAACCCGAUGCAAACUACGAAUACCAAAGAGUGAUACUCAGGAGACACACGGCGGGUGCUAACGUCCGUCGUGGAGAGGGAAACAACCCAGACCGCCAGCUAAGGUCCCCAAGUCUAUAUUAAGUGGGAAACGAAGUGGGAAGGCUUAGACAGCUAGGAUGUUGGCUUAGAAGCAGCCAUCAUUUAAAGAAAGCGUAAUAGCUCACUAGUCGAGUCGGCCUGCGCGGAAGAUGUAACGGGGCUGAAAUAUAGCACCGAAGCUGCGGCAUCAG